UCUCCAUUUAUUUGUGGGGGUGUUGGUUUGAAUCAUGUGCCCAUGUGACCAUGCCGCAUAGGUCAACGAUAACCGGGAAGUAGUAGAAACCUCCCAAAAAGAGUGACACUGUAGCCAAGGUCACAGAUCGAAAAUCCAUAAAAUGAAAAAAUGAGCAUAUAGACUGCAAUUGUCUCAAUUUGCACAAUGGACUCCAUGGAUUUAGGAAAAGAAUUUCUAUUUGUUUUAUUUCCUAGUUAUCUCCAGAUUUAUAGUUAUUAUUUUUGCUCAUUUUUUUCCCCCAGCUAUAUAGGCAUCACAAACAUCUUUUUUGUCUGGGUUGUGCAAGAGUAUCUUCACUAAACCCUUGAGAUUAGAGAGCUGGAAGGCCAAUGGGUAUUAAUUCAGACAUUAAACCCUGGGAUGUGGCAUGUGAAUCUAUGUAGAACUUGAUGAAAUCACCAUCCUUAGAAGCAUAAGCCCUAUUAAAAGAAAAUGUAAAAAUUGCAUCUACUAUGGGUAGGGGCCCGGAGGUGGCUUUCUUCAGUCACUGCAAAGGCACAGGCAGCUCUUGGUGGUAUCAUCUGAUGAAUACAUGUAAUGGGAGAAAGGAAUUGGUAAAUGUGGUGGGUUUCUGAGGAGUAGGGAAGACCUACUUUAUCUUCACGAUUUAACUGAAUUCCUAUUUGUUACUGAUGAUCGGAUGCUGUCGGAUCAUAUUUACCGAAAUCGCCCAAACCUAAUUCGGUAGUACUGGAUAAAGAGGGUAUUGGUGAUGCGCUCAUGUGGGCAUAGCUUUCAAAAGUCAGGUGGUAGAGUAGCUGUUGGUGAUGAAGGAGCCUUCUGGACAGUGAGAUAGGCAGGAUCAGCAAGGUGUGUGCUGUGGUUGAACACAAGCACUGCUCUCCCAAGGAUAAAAGCCCAAUCAAGAUUUGAGCCACUGUAGAUGGGGGACCUUUCAAGAAGCUGCUGCAGUGCAUUGUGGGAACUUCCUGUCUGUACUCAGUGUCAUGUUCAAUACCCUCCCCAACUCUGGCUCUGUCUGCUGUAGUUUUGGAAUAUAGGUGAGUUUCAGUGGGGUGGAGUAUGGAGCCGAUGACCAAGAAAAAGUUCCUGAGGCAUCUUUGGUGCAAAAUGUUGUUUUAUUAAAGCAUGGGGACAGGAGGAGGGCAGAAAGAGUUGCUGCCCCCGGGGUCAUGAGGGGGUGGCUGAUUUUAUACUAUGGGGUUAGGGAAAGGUGAGGAAUAAGGGAGUUUUCAAAAUGAUUUUCAUAUGUUGGAAGACUCACAGGAUACUGGAAGCCUUGCCAUUGUCAAGCUAAUGUUGUUUUUCCCUCUUAGGAAGGCAUUACCGUGAAGAUAGUUGGGAGUUUUCUGGAGGAACAUUACAUUUUGACCUCUUCAAGCAUCUGUCAAUGGGCUGCAGACUCUAAGGUCACUUAAACGUUUGUACAUUCCGUUCUGGAAGCUUGCCAGGAGCCCCUGAGGAAUGUCACAUGCAUCCCAUGGAGGGGGAGUUGAGUGUGUCAGCUUCUGCUUUGUCCUCAGCUUGUCUUCUGGUCCCUCAUCAUGUCCAUGACACGGAUUUGUUGGAGGAACAGUUCAACAUGGGAUAUUAAUCCGCCUACAAAGGAAUGUAACCCUGUCAUUUGCCACAACAUCGGUGAACUAGAGAGUAUUAUGCUAAGUGAAAUAAGUCAGAGAAAGACAAAUACCAAAUGAUUUCACUCCUGCGUAGAUUCCAACAAACAAAACAAGUGAGAAACGAGAAAGAGAACAAGAAAGGGAGAGACAAAGUAAGAAACAGACCUUUAACUAUAGCAAGCAGGCUAGUGAUUGCCAGAACAGAGGUAGGAAGGCGGAUGCGUUAAAUGAGUGAUGGGAUAAGGAGUGCACCUGCAAGGCGCACUGGGUGUCGUAUGGAAUUGUACACUCUUGUACUCCUGAAAGGAACAUUACCUUGUAUGUUAACUAGCAGGAAUGUAAAGAAAAACCUUUAAAAAAUGCUUUUUACAGAUGGGAGAAACUUUGUGUCUUGGGUCACCAAAAUAUACUUUUGGAAAGAAAUUGAAACAUUUAUCCUUUCUCCCUUGCUGAUGCUAUCAAAUUUGGAGACUCCUUUUGACUAUUCUUAUUUAUAUAUAUUUUUUAAAGAUUUAAUUUAUUUAUUAGACUGACAGAGAUCACAAGUAGGCAGGGAGGCAGGCAGAGAGAGAGGAGGAAGCAGGCCUUCUGCAGAGCAGAGAGCCCAAUGCAGGGCUCCAUCCCAGGACCCUGAGAUCAUGACCUGAGCGGAAGGCAGAGGCCCUAACCCACUGAGCCACACAGGUGCCUCGACUAUUCUUAUAUUUUCAGCCAACAUGUAUAUAUUUGCAUAAUUUCCAUAAGCAGUUGUUCUGCUUAUGACAGGACACACUGACCAACGCUGCUUUUAGGAGUUCCUAGUGGCCCAGUGGGUUAGGCAUCUGCCUUCGGUUCAGGUCAUGAUUGCAGCAUCCUGUGAUUCAGCCCAGUGUGCAUCUCCCUACUUACUGGGGAGUUGCCCUUUCCCCUGCUGAUGUUCACUCUUUCUCUCUUUCCCAAACAAAUAAAAUGCUACAACAAACAA